GUAAAAAGGCCAACUCGCUGGAGGACGGAAGGGUGGCCUGAAGACUGAGGAGGGGCAGGUCAGGUGCCCAGUCCAGAGAGGAGGAGUUGAAGAUGACAAGCCGCACCCCACCUCCCCCCAACUCACUUGGGACUGGAUCCACCCUGAGGAGCCUCGGGUCAACAUCCUGUUUCCGGCAAGCCCUCCUGGAGGCCACACAGAGGGGUGUUUGUUCGUAGUGGGCGACGGGAGAGAUGCUAAUCACGUUGGAUAGCUGGUCCCAGCUGAAGGUCAGGAGGUGGUUCUCUGUCCCUCCGCUUUUGAAUCUGGACUGACCUUAGGGAACUUGUCAACCUUUGAAUUCAGAGGAAGUGAUACUGCCUGCCUCAUGAGACCUGCUGAAACCGUAUUCCGAAGCUUUCUUCUAGGAUCCAUCAUUUACCUACCAAGAUAACUACCUUACUUACCAUAAACGUGAACGAUGCAGGCGGCUAGAGGGCUCGCUCGGUAGCUAAAAGUGAUUGCUACACAGGGGCAGCAAUCUGAAUUCAGUCCCCAGGAGCCAUGGAAAGCAGGAAGGAGAUGACCAGCUGCGUGGUUAGCUUCUGACUUCCCCACACGUGCUGUGACCCACACCCACACCAAUAAAUAUAUUUCUACUUUA
rnacentral:lncRNA from 1 species